rnacentral:piRNA from 1 species
CUGCCAUGAUGGGGACAGUGGACUGAGG